rnacentral:rRNA from 1 species
UUGUAAUUUGGAGAAGGUGCUUCGGGAACGACCGCGGCCCAAGUCCCAUGGAACUGGGCGUCGUAGAGGGUGAGAAUCCCGUAUGCGGCCGACGGUCCGACCCGCGUGAAGCCCUUUCGACGAGUCGAGUUGUUUGGGAAUGCAGCUCUAAAUGGGUGGUAAAUUCCAUCUAAGGCUAAAUAUCUGCCGGAGACCGAUAGCGCACAAGUAGAGUGAUCGAAAGAUGAAAAGCACUUUGAAAAGAGAGUGAAACAGCACGUGAAAUUGUUGAAAAGGAAGCGCUUGCAACCAGACUCGUUGGCAGGGUUCAGCCGCGCUUCGGUGUGGUGUACUCCCUGCGAUCGGGCCAGCAUCGGUUUCGGCGGCCGGACAAAGGCCCCGGGAAUGUAGCUCCCUUCGGGGAGUGUUAGAGCCCGGGGUACAAUGCGGCCUGCCGGGACCGAGGACCGCGCUCUGCUAGGAUGCUGGCGUAAUGGUUGCCAGCGACCCGUCUUGAAACACGGAUCAAGGAGUUGACCUACUGUGCGAGUAUUUGGGCGUCAAACCCAGAUGCGCAAUGAAAGUGAGUUUAGGUGGGAGCCCCCGGGCGCACCAUCGACCGAUCUUGAUGUCUUCGGACGGAUUUGAGUACGAGCAUAAUGGGUCUGACCCGAAAGACGGUGAGCUAUGCGUGAAUAGGGUGAAGCCAGAGGAAACUCUGGUGGAGGCUCGCAGCGGUUCUGACGUGCAAAUCGAUCGUCAAAUUUGCGCAUAGGGGCGAAAGACUAAUCGAACCGUCUAGUAGCUGGUUCCUGUCGAAGUUUCCCUCAGGAUAGCAGCAACGAACGUAGUAGUCUCAUGAGGUAGAGCGAACGAUUAGAGGCCUUGGGGUCGGAACUGACCUUAACCUAUUCUCGAACUUCGAAUAUGUGAGAAGUCCUUGUUACUUUGUUGAA